GACGAACGCUGGCGGCGUGCCUAAUACAUGCAAGUUGAGCGCUGAAGGUUGGUACUUGUACCAACUGGAUGAGCAGCGAACGGGUGAGUAACGCGUGGGGAAUCUGCCUUUGAGCGGGGGACAACAUUUGGAAACGAAUGCUAAUACCGCAUAAAAACUUUAAACACAAGUUUUAAGUUUGAAAGAUGCAAUUGCAUCACUCAAAGAUGAUCCCGCGUUGUAUUAGCUAGUUGGUGAGGUAAAGGCUCACCAAGGCGAUGAUACAUAGCCGACCUGAGAGGGUGAUCGGCCACAUUGGGACUGAGACACGGCCCAAACUCCUACGGGAGGCAGCAGUAGGGAAUCUUCGGCGAUGGACGAAAGUCUGACCGAGCAACGCCGCGUGAGUGAAGAAGGGUGUCGGAUCGUAAAACUCUGUUGGUAGAGAAGAACGUUGGUGAGAGUGGAAAGCUCAUCAAGUGACGGUAACUACACAGAAAGGGACGGCUAACUACGUG
rnacentral:rRNA from 1 species